CGCCGCGGUAAUACGUAGGUCCCGAGCGUUGUCCGGAUUUAUUGGGCGUAAAGCGAGCGCAGGCGGUUAGAUAAGUCUGAAGUUAAAGGCUGUGGCUUAACCAUAGUACGCUUUGGAAACUGUUUAACUUGAGUGCAGAAGGGGAGAGUGGAAUUCCAUGUGUAGCGGUGAAAUGCGUAGAUAUAUGGAGGAACACCGGUGGCGAAAGCGGCUCUCUGGUCUGUAACUGACGCUGAGGCUCGAAAGCGUGGGGAGCGAACAGGAUUAGAUACCCCAGUAGUCCCUGUCUCUUAUACACAUU
rnacentral:rRNA from 1 species